CAAAAAUAAAAAUAAUUCCAGUAGCUAACAUCCCUUUUGAUUUUUUUUAAAAGAUUUACAGGGUAAUGGCAUACUACAACAACAGAAUUCCAAGUCAUGAAACAGAUUCACAUGAAUAAAUCGAGGGACCAACAAUUUUAAUCAUUAAAAUGAAAACAGAAUACAAGGGGUUUCAAACUUAUCUAAUCAAACAGCAACAAAAUGACUGAAACAAGCUAAAUGAAAAGCCGAAAACAAUUGUGACAGUGAGAGCUCGGUCAAUUCCUCGGCAACAGCAGAAACACCAUGAUUUCCAACCUCAGUUUGAACACCCAGAGAUAUCAACUUCAAUUUUUGAACUAGAGUUCUACAACUUACACAUGGUUCAAGGAAUGAUGUAUUGAAAGAGAUGUAUUGUUGUUGGAUCGAAGCAUGGUAAAAAUGAAAAAAAAAACACAUUUAUCUAAUAGCAUUGAAGCCAUGGGCAAGAAGGUAAUGGACUUGAGGCUCACUACAUUAGGGGAAUUGGCAGCUGUUUGAGCAAGCUAUUGUCACCAAAUGCUCAUUUGAGGAUAUCGCUAAUAUUGAAAGGUUCUCUUAUCAUUUUGAAGCUAUUGCCUUAAGGUAAGCUAAUGGACAACAAAGGGGAAUGAAGGCUUAAAGCCAGAAAAAUAUAGAGGUUGAUAAUUUGAGCAUAUCAAUAUUGAAAGAAUUGCUUGAGCACUUAACAUAUGACUGUACCGAAGAAAAGUAAUCACAUGUAGGAGGUUUACUUGAAAAGUUAAUCAUAAGCAAAUUCACUAAAUAAGAAGCUUUAACCUAUUUCUGAUGUCAUCGUAUCUUGCCUUAUUUUAAUCACGUUGUCAAAUUUUUAUAGUACAAGCAUUACGGUGCCACUGAUAUGGGAUCCGAAGGAGGAAUUCACAUACUUUAGCAGGGCAACGUAAGUUGAGAACUACAACAUAAAAGAUGCUUCAUCAUUUGAGAAUACUAAAUGCUUCCUUUA